rnacentral:rRNA from 1 species
AACGAACGCUGGCGGCAGGCUUAACACAUGCAAGUCGAACGCCCCGCAAGGGGAGUGGCAGACGGGUGAGUAACGCGUGGGAACGUGCCCUUCGCUUCGGAAUAGUCCCGGGAAACUAGGUUUAAUACCGGAUACGCCGUAUUGGGAAAGAUUUAUCGGCGAAGGAUCGGCCCGCGAUAGAUUAGGUAGUUGGCGGUGUAACGGACCACCAAGCCUACGAUCUAUAUCUGGUCUGAGAAGAUGGUCAGGCCACACUGGGACUGAAACACGGCCCAGACUCCUACGGGAGGCAGCAGUGGGGAAUCUUGGACAAUGGGCGCAAGCCUGAUCCAGCCAUGCCGCGUGAGUGAAGAAGGCCUUAGGGUUGUAAAACUCUUUCGCCGGAGAAGAUAAUGACGGUAUCCGGAGAAGAAGCCCCGGCUAACUUCGUGCCAGCCGCCGCCGUAAGAC